rnacentral:rRNA from 1 species
GUCUUUUUGAUUUUUAUUUAAAGUCUGAUCUGCCCAAUGAAGAUUUUAAUGGCCGCAGAAUUUUAACUGUGCAAAGGUAGCAUAAUCAUUAGUUUUUUAAUUGAAGACUGGAAUGAACGAUUGAACGAGAUAAAAGCUGUCUCAGCAAAGAAAGUAAAAUUUUAUUUUUUAGUAAAAAAGCUAAAAUAGAUUUAAAAGACGAGAAGACCCUAUAGAUCUUUAUAUUUUUUUUUAUAAUAUUUUGUAAUGAAUUUUUUAAAAAUUAUAAAAAUAGUAUUUUAUUGGGGUGAUAGUGAAAUUAAAUAAACUUUCAUAAAAGUUUAACCAUUAAUUUAUGAGUAAUUGAUCCUUUUUAUUGAUUAAUAGACUAAGUUACCUUAGGGAUAACAGCGUAAUUAUUUUGGAGAGUUCUUAUCGAUAAAAUAGAUUGCGACCUCGAUGUUGGAUUAAGAUAAAUCCUGGGUGCAGCAGCUCGGGUGUUAAGUCUGUUCGACUUUUAAUUUCUU